rnacentral:rRNA from 1 species
GGCUAUGGCCACAGCCUGCCUGACUGCACCCAGUCUCACUUGAUAAAGGAAGCUAAGCAGUCACAAGUGUGGUUUGUACUUGGAUAAGAAACCCUCAGCGAAAUCCUGGUGCUAUGGGCA